UAGGAUGUAGCUCAGUAGAAGAGUGUGUGCUUAGCAUGCACAAAGCUCUGGGUUCAAGCCCCAGAAUCCCUA
rnacentral:tRNA from 1 species